UGGCCAUAUCGAUUCAGUCUGUCGUUCGGUUAAAGUUUAUAUAUGCUGCCAUUUUUAAAAAAUUGAAAUUUAAGGUAUUAUAAUUUCCAUUAUCAAUGAAUACAAAGUAUAAAAAACCCGACAGAGGGACGGACAAACAAGACGAACAUUGUUAACUAUAUACAGAAAACUAUAUAUAUUAACUAUAUACAUAUUCACCGACUUUUACUUCUACUAAUUUCUAAAUUUGAUCUAAACAUGCAAAACUAUUGCAAAUAUAACCAAAAAAAGAAACAGUGUUCGUAAACGCAUUCAGAAUCCAAUCGAGCAUUCAACAGCUAAUCUUAUAAGUACUGAAGAGUGUUACAAGUCGAUAAAAAGGAGUAUCGAGAAUUUGACCAGGGAGAGCUCCCAUAAAGACGAGAUCUGGUGGAAGAUGCCGAUAGUAUUAUUGAUAUUCGGCUGUGUUUUAGUGUUAUCUAUAGGCUUCUGCCUGCUUGCCCAGAAGGUUGUAAGUAUAAUAGAGGAGCGCAUAGAUCAAACUGAUAUUGAUAUUUGUGAAGACAAAGGGGAAUAUGAAGCAGAGAAAGGAAGAUGCAAGUCCAGAUGCAGCAUACCAUCUGAUAAUCAAAUCAGCAAUUCCAAAUCUUCCCAUUCCCUAAAAGGUCCAACAACCAGCAGGACUCGUUAUCAAUUUCCAAAUUAAAAAGCUGUUUAUCCUCUUUUUUAUUACAUAUAUCAUGUUAUACAUUUUAUCCUCGUGUUCAAGAACUCAAUUAGAUACGAAAUGGAUUUCUGAUGUUUCUAUUAAAGCAGUCCAUUGUCACGCAAUCGAAUCAAAAAAUUAUACUGUGCCGACUAAUAAAUACCUCUGGGACAACAAA